CCUGGCGAAUAUAGCUCUGUGGAACCACCUGAUCCCUUCCCGAACUCAGUAGUGAAACGCAGCAGCGCCAAUGAUAGUGUGGGGGCUCCCCAUGCGAACGUAGGUCAUCGCCAGGU
rnacentral:rRNA from 1 species